rnacentral:rRNA from 1 species
CAGUAGCCGCGGUAAUACAGAGGGUGCGAGCGUUAAUCGGAUUUACUGGGCGUAAAGCGUGCGUAGGCGGCUUCUUAAGUCGGAUGUGAAAUCCCUGAGCUUAACUUAGGAAUUGCAUUCGAUACUGGGAAGCUAGAGUAUGGGAGAGGAUGGUAGAAUUCCAGGUGUAGCGGUGUAAUGCGUAGAGAUCUGGAGGAAUACCGAUGGCGAAGGCAGCCAUCUGGCCUAAUACUGACGCUGAGGUACGAAAGCAUGGGGAGCAAACAGGAUUAGAUACCCCUGUAGUCCCUGUCUCUUAUAC